AUUGAACGCUGGCGGCAUGCCUUACACAUGCAAGUCGAACGGCAGCACGGGGGCAACCCUGGUGGCGAGUGGCGAACGGGUGAGUAAUGCAUCGGAACGUGCCCAGUAGUGGGGGAUAACCAGUCGAAAGACUGGCUAAUACCGCAUACGACCCAAGGGUGAAAGCGGGGGACCGUAAGGCCUCGCGCUAUUGGAGCGGCCGAUGUCUGAUUAGCUAGUUGGCGGGGUAAGAGCCCACCAAGGCGACGAUCAGUAGCUGGUCUGAGAGGACGACCAGCCACACUGGGACUGAGACACGGCCCAGACUCCUACGGGAGGCAGCAGUGGGGAAUUUUGGACAAUGGGCGCAAGCCUGAUCCAGCCAUGCCGCGCGCGGGAAGAAGGCCUUCGGGUUGUAAACCGCUUUUGGCAGGAACGAAACGGCGCAGGCCAAUACCUUGCGCUAAUGACGGUACCUGCAGAAUAAGCACCGGCUAACUACGUGCCAGCAGCCGCCGUAACAC
rnacentral:rRNA from 1 species